rnacentral:lncRNA from 1 species
GGGCACCAUUUGCUAAGAAAAGAGGUGAUAAUCCUUAUGAGGGUACUACCCGCACCUUUCCCUCUUAGAAUGCUAAGUCUUAGAAGAGCGGAUAGCUAAGAUAAGGAUACUAACCUCUUUGUCCAGGUCUCCUUCUAGUUAAAAUCUAAGUAGGUCUUUGAGGAAGAGGGGGUAGAACCCUCUUCUAUACACUGGAGCAUCUCUCUACUCUUGGAUAU